GAGGGAAACCGAGUCUUAAUUGGGCGUUAAGUUGCAGGGUAUAGACCCGAAACCCGGUGAUCUAGCCAUGGGCAGGUUGAAGGUUGGGUAACACUAACUGGAGGACCGAACCGACUAAUGUUGAAAAAUUAGCGGAUGACCUGUGGCUGGGGGUGAAAGGCCAAUCAAACCGGGAGAUAGCUGGUUCUCCCCGAAAGCUAUUUAGGUAGCGCCUCGUGAAUUCAUCUCCGGGGGUAGAGCACUGUUUCGGCUAGGGGGCCAUCCCGGCUUACCAACCCGAUGCAAACUGCGAAUACCGGAGAAUGUUAUCACGGGAGACACACGGCGGGUGCUAACGUCCGUCGUGAAGAGGGAAACAACCCAGACCGCCAGCUAAGGUCCCAAAGUCAUGGUUAAGUGGGAAACGAUGUGGGAAGGCCCAGACAGCCAGGAUGUUGGCUUAGAAGCAGCCAUCAUUUAAAGAAAGCGUAAUAGCUCACUGGUCGAGUCGGCCUGCGCGGAAGAUGUAACGGGGCUAAACCAUGCACCGAAGCUGCGGCAGCGACACUGUGUGUUGUUGGGUAGGGGAGCGUUCUGUAAGCCUGUGAAGGUGUGUCGUGAGGCAUGCUGGAGGUAUCAGAAGUGCGAAUGCUGACAUAAGUAACGAUAAAGCGGGUGAAAAGCCCGCUCGCCGGAAGACCAAGGGUUCCUGUCCAACGUUAAUCGGGGCAGGGUGAGUCGACCCCUAAGGCGAGGCCGAAAGGCGUAGUCGAUGGGAAACGGGUUAAUAUUCCCGUACUUGGUGUUACUGCGAAGGGGGGACGGAGAAGGCUAUGUUGGCCGGGCGACGGUUGUCCCGGUUUAAGCGUGUAGGUGUGUGUUCCAGGUAAAUCCGGUUCACUUUAACACUGAGGCGUGACGACGAGGCACUACGGUGCUGAAGCAACAAAUGCCCUGCUUCCAGGAAAAGCCUCUAAGCAUCAGGUAACAUCAAAUCGUACCCCAAACCGACACAGGUGGUCAGGUAGAGAAUACCAAGGCGCUUGAGAGAACUCGGGUGAAGGAACUAGGCAAAAUGGUGCCGUAACUUCGGGAGAAGGCACGCUGACACGUAGGUGAAGUGAUUUACUCAUGGAGCUGAAGUCAGUCGAAGAUACCAGCUGGCUGCAACUGUUUAUUAAAAACACAGCACUGUGCAAACACGAAAGUGGACGUAUACGGUGUGACGCCUGCCCGGUGCCGGAAGGUUAAUUGAUGGGGUCAGCGCAAGCGAAGCUCCUGAUCGAAGCCCCGGUAAACGGCGGCCGUAACUAUAACGGUCCUAAGGUAGCGAAAUUCCUUGUCGGGUAAGUUCCGACCUGCACGAAUGGCGUAAUGAUGGCCAGGCUGUCUCCACCCGAGACUCAGUGAAAUUGAACUCGCUGUGAAGAUGCAGUGUACCCGCGGCAAGACGGAAAGACCCCGUGAACCUUUACUAUAGCUUGACACUGAACAUUGAGCCUUGAUGUGUAGGAUAGGUGGGAGGCUUUGAAGUGUGGACGCCAGUCUGCAUGGAGCCGACCUUGAAAUACCACCCUUUAAUGUUUGAUGUUCUAACGUGGACCCGUUACCCGGGUUGCGGACAGUGUCUGGUGGGUAGUUUGACUGGGGCGGUCUCCUCCUAAAGAGUAACGGAGGAGCACGAAGGUUGGCUAAUCCUGGUCGGACAUCAGGAGGUUAGUGCAAUGGCAUAAGCCAGCUUGACUGCGAGCGUGACGGCGCGAGCAGGUGCGAAAGCAGGUCAUAGUGAUCCGGUGGUUCUGAAUGGAAGGGCCAUCGCUCAACGGAUAAAAGGUACUCCGGGGAUAACAGGCUGAUACCGCCCAAGAGUUCAUAUCGACGGCGGUGUUUGGCACCUCGAUGUCGGCUCAUCACAUCCUGGGGCUGAAGUAGGUCCCAAGGGUAUGGCUGUUCGCCAUUUAAAGUGGUACGCGAGCUGGGUUUAGAACGUCGUGAGACAGUUCGGUCCCUAUCUGCCGUGGGCGCUGGAGAACUGAGGGGGGCUGCUCCUAGUACGAGAGGACCGGAGUGGACGCAUCACUGGUGUUCGGGUUGUCAUGCCAAUGGCACUGCCCGGUAGCUAAAUGCGGAAGAGAUAAGUGCUGAAAGCAUCUAAGCACGAAACUUGCCCCGAGAUGAGUUCUCCCUGAGACUUAAAGUCUCCUGAAGGAACGUUGAAGACGA
rnacentral:rRNA from 1 species